rnacentral:rRNA from 1 species
GAUGAACGCUAGCGGGAGGCUUAAUACAUGCAAGUCGAACGGUAAGGUCUCUGCUUGCAGAGAUACACGAGUGGCGCACGGGUGAGUAACGCGUACACGACCUACCUUUAAGAAGGGGAUAGCCCUGGGAAACUGGGAUUAAUACCCUAUAGUAUUAUUGUUUUACGGAAUAAUAAUUAAAGCAUUAGUGUGCUUAAAGAUGGGUGUGCGUUAGAUUAGCUAGUUGGUAAGGUAACGGCUUACCAAGGCGACGAUCUAUAGGGGGCGUGAGAGCGUGAUCCCCCACACGGGUACUGAGACACGGACCCGACUCCUACGGGAGGCAGCAGUAAGGAAUAUUGGACAAUGGGGGCAACCCUGAUCCAGCCAUCCCGCGUGCAGGAAGACGGCCCUAUGGGUUGUAAACUGCUUUUAUUAGGGAAGAAAAUGUUUCAUUUAUGAGACACUGACGGUACCUAAAGAAUAAGCACCGGCUAACUCCG